AUUAGCAGAAAGAAACCACCAGUGGAAUCUCUCCUCGAAAACCUGCGCACACUGAAAAGGAAACACAAGCAGAUCCUUCGCAAAAACAAGGCCCUGACAAAGAGCCAGGCUGCAUUGAAACAAAAGCUCACAGAGCAGUGCAAGGCACUGAAUCGUAAGCGCAAGAUCUUCAGCAUCCACUUUCCCAGGCUCAAGUCACGGAUCGAAGACAAUGUAAACGCCCUGCAUACGGUCACUCUGAAUGAAAUCAAA